CCAGGCAGCCGGAAGAGCCGCGAACCUGGCCGGCAGCGCGCGCGGGCAGAGGUUCCCGAAUGGGGUCGGCACCUGGCUCCUGGGUGUCCCUUCCCCCGGGGAAAGGAGGUUGGCACCAGCCAGGGUCGUGGCAAGUUCUGGGGGUGGGAGGAGCCCCAGGCCCUGGUGAGCCCCAGGGCUGGGCAUGGUGACGCAUGCCUAUAGCACCAAAACUCUGGGAGGCUGAGGCAGGAGGAUCAGAAGUUUGAGGCCAGCCUGGGCAACUUAGGUACUGCCCAAGAUAAAAAUUAAAAGGGGCUUGGGAUGUAGCUCAGAACGGGGUUCAAUCUCCUCUACUAGGGAGAAGGAGAGAGAGAGACAGAGAGGACCCCAGGGCUCAGGACAACUGCCCAGGUGAGAUCUGCUACUGCCCAGAGCUUUAGAGGUGGGCCCUGGGGACAGAAGGCUCUGGAAUUUUAAAUUGUCCCCACUCUGCAGCCCCCACUUAAAAAAACAAAGGAUGUGUGACAGGAAUGGCGGGCGGCGGCUUCGGCAGUGGCUGAUUGAACAAAUCGACAGCAACAUGUACCCAGGGCUGAUUUGGGAGAAUGAGGAGAAGAGCAUGUUCCGCAUCCCGUGGAAGCACGCCGGCAAGCAGGAUUAUAACCAGGAGGUGGAUGCCUCCAUCUUCAAGGCCUGGGCAGUUUUUAAAGGGAAGUUUAAAGAAGGAGACAAAGCUGAACCAGCCACUUGGAAGACAAGGUUACGCUGUGCUUUGAACAAGAGCCCAGAUUUUGAGGAAGUGACAGACCGAUCCCAGCUGGACAUUUCCGAGCCAUACAAAGUUUAUAGAAUUGUCCCGGAGGAAGAGCAAAAAUGCAAACUGGGCCUCGCGCCUCCCGGCUGUGUGAAUGACGUCGCGGAGAUGGAGUGUGGCCGCCCCGAGUUGGAGGACAUGAUCAAGGAGCCUCCUGUGGAUGACUACAUGGGGUUGAUCAAGAGGAGCCCGUCCCCGCCAGAGGCCUGCAGGAGCCAGCUCCUCCCGGACUGGUGGGUGCCGCAGCCCAGCGCAGGCUUGCCGCUGGUGACCGGGUACCCCACCUAUGACCCACACCAUGCAGCCUUCUCCCAGAUGGUGAUCAGCUUCUACUACGGGGGCAAGCUGGUGGGCCAGGCCACCACCACCUGCCCCGAGGGCUGCCGCCUGGCCCUGGGCCCGCCGGGGCUGCCCAGCGCCAAGCUGUACGGGCCCGAGGGCCUGGAGCUGGUCCGCUUCCCGCCGGCUGACACCAUUGCCACCGAGCGCCAAAGGCAGGUGACACGGAAACUGCUCGGGCACCUGGAGCGCGGCGUGCUCCUGCACAGCAGCCGUCAGGGCGUGUUCGUCAAGCGGCUGUGCCAGGGCCGUGUGUUCUGCAGUGGCAACGCCGUGGUGCGCAAGGGCAGGCCCAACAAGCUGGAGCGCGACGAGGUGGUCCAGGUCUUCGACACCAGCCAGUUCUUCCGAGAGCUACAGCAGUUCUACGGCAGCCAGGCCCGCCUGCCGGACAGCAGGGUGGUGCUGUGCUUUGGGGAGGAGUUUCCGGACAUGGCGCCCUUGCGCUCCAAGCUCAUCCUGGUGCAGGUGGAGCAGCUGUAUGUCCGGCAGCUGGUGGAGGACUCGGGGAAGAGCUGCAGUGUGGGCGCUGUGCUGCCAGCCCCCGAGGAGCCCCAGCCGGACCAGGCCUUCCGGAUGUUUCCCGAGAUUUGUGCCUCUCACCAGAGACCCUUUUUCAGAGAAAACCAGCAGAUCACGGUCUGAGCAGUGCCUGUCCGGCACCCCGCCCUGCCCGCGACCCUCGGUCACAGUGACGGCGGCAGGCGCUGGCCCUUGAGUCCAGUUGCUGUGAUUCAUUCUGCAUUUGGGGCUAAGUGACAUCUCCAGAGACUUACAGCUCCUGUGACAGCUCCUUGGGGUCAGGAGUGAGGUGUUCAGUGUCAGCUCGUGGGAUCAGGCUUUUCAUUGUCUGCAUCUUCCUGUGGGUACAGGCGAAGUUCACAAGUUGGAUUCUAUGUGGAGCAUAGACUCUAUUUACUUUUAAACUCUUUAAUAAGAUUUCUCAGUAUUUAGCUACAAGCCUUCUGUUAAGGGGUAAGAGCCGAAACCUGGGCUUGUUGGGAGAAUUGUUUCUUCCUGGAAUUUGGUGUAGGGCCUCGGGGGUUUGGCUUUCAGACAAGGCACACUUUUCCUCUGGGGUUCUGUUACCUGGAAGCUGAGAGCUAAACUUUUUAUUUUUGUAAUGAAAUCAUUCCAGAUUCCUCUCUCUUCUCUUUCUAGAAGGUUUUGAUUUGUUUUAAAAAUAUUUGUACUUGUAAUUGCCUUACCUACGUGUUCUAUUGUAAACUGCUUUGAAUCAUUUUUUCUUUAAAGUGAGCAGGAUGCAAACUGUAAGUUUAGAAAGUGCCUGUGAAUCGCAGGCGAGUUUUGCAUGUGUUCAGUGGACUCCACCCACCUGGGCUGGGGUGUGGCCAGAUGGGACUUCCUUAGCAUCUCAUCUGGGGCGUCCUGGGGGCUGUGGCAGGGGCUGUCUGCCACCUCCCUGCCACUCUGCGGGGCUCCCCAGCCCACACCUAUGCCAGCCAAGGGCAGCGGAGCUGGGAGUGGUCUUGCCUUUCUCCUCUGGACAGACGGUGGGGACCUGCUCACAGGCUUGGUGGCUUGGCGUAAUGGCCAAGGCCGUUCACUCCUUUCAUGCCUCUGACUUUCCAGCUUCUGCCCUAAUGUAUCUCCGAAACCACUUCAACACGUGCAUUAUUAAAAAUACUUGAACAUGUUUUCUAAAAAAAUGCUGUAUUUUGCCUGUUGAAGGCCCUUUUAGAUGCCUAUGUCCUGGGUGCCCCCAGGCACCAGUAGACUGGGCUGCAUGGGUGUUGGGAGCCCUGCUUGUUGCAGAUGUUGAGUGGUUGGGUGGGACCAUCAUGGGUGUAGAUCCCAGGCAGGCCUGGGGGUGUGGGGAAGGUCCUGUCCAUUCCCUGCUGGGGACAGGAGCAGGAUCCCUUCUCCUUGUGACCCCGAUGUACCUGAGUCUCACAGUGGGAGGUAAGGGCAGUCUGGGGUUUGGGAGACAGGGCCUGGGCAGUCUGGACUCAAAACCUGGAAAGUCAGAGCUCGCCCAGACGGGGCCUCCCGGCUUCGGAGGGAGCCUUUUCCUAUGGCCGCCAGACCGUUUGCUGAGCUGAUGGUGAGCUAACCAGAGGUUUCGCUCCCGGUUGCAAUGUGAAAGCAUGUCUUUAAUAUGUGGAAUGAAUAUUUAUUUUUGUAUCGUUGGAAAAAUAUAUUGAUCUUAUUCUUUAUUGAAAUAAAGUGCUCUUUUAUAAA